rnacentral:lncRNA from 1 species
UAGGAGUCUUGAUGUCCAGCAAUUGAUUUUCUGUGUUAUCUUCUCUACUAUUGGCCAGCAUUAUAUAACUGACAUUUCUCAAUUGGAAUGUCAAACAAUAAAUGUCUUAUUUGGGAAACGUGAUGGACCAAACACCACUAGAAAUAAACUACGAUAAUUCACUGCAGACAUUGAACAUCACAGAAUACUCUUCCUGAAAUGCACUCAUUGCAAUGCAAUCUCUCAUUUCUAUUGCCAAAUCAACAACAACUACCCAGUAUAGUCUCACAGAGUGGGGUCUGGGGAGGGUAAUAUGUAGACGAGCCUUACCCCUACCCGAAAGGGCAGA